UACGUAGGGUGCAAGCGUUGUCCGGAAUUAUUGGGCGUAAAGAGCUCGUAGGCGGUCUGUUGCGUCGGCUGUGAAAACCCGGGGCUCAACUCCGGGCCUGCAGCCGAUACGGGCAGACUAGAGUUCGGCAGGGGAGACUGGAAUUCCUGGUGUAGCGGUGAAAUGCGCAGAUAUCAGGAGGAACACCGGUGGCGAAGGCGGGUCUCUGGGCCGAUACUGACGCUGAGGAGCGAAAGCGUGGGGAGCGAACAAG
rnacentral:rRNA from 1 species